rnacentral:tmRNA from 1 species
GGGGGCGUUCUGGCUUCGACGUGGAUCGGACGUACCCUGGGGCAUGCCGAGGAGGCAGCAACCCUCGUAAAACCUGGCUGCAAAAAGUUAGUUGCCAACGACGACAACUACGCACUGGCUGCCUAAAAACCAGCCUGCUCCUGACCG